UAAACCGCGGCUCGGGCGGAUGACGCGACGAAAAAUACUAUUUUAAUCAAAUUCGGGCGGGUGGCGGUUUAACGACGCAUGGACCCACAGAACUCCUCACGUACACCGUGUCUUCUCACAUACACCGUGUGCACCGCGCCUUUUUUUUAAUCGAGACUCGUUUUCGUUGUUUGCUAUAUGAUUGUUCUAAAAUCUAAAAUCGUGGGUGCAAAUGGAGAGUUUGGAGUUCAAGUUUUUAGAUUAUCACCACAAAAUUGCAUAAAAGCUUUGGUUGGAAUUAAACACUAAAACAUAUUUUCUGUUUUACAGGUGACUACCCAACAUGCUGUGGAGCUGUAAAUACUAUUUGUCUGGAAUUCAAAAGGAUUGUGGGAAAAGACCUGCACCAGGAAUUUUAUUCUGCCCUUGAUAACCACACUACCCAUUUUAUUGAAAGUUUUAAAGCUAAGAGGGGCAACGUGGGUGACAGUUGGCACAGCUUUUGCAGCAAAUACAGUCACUGGAUUCUACUGAAAAAAGGACAGUCACACUAAGAGGUCUUCCUUACUUACUCGGAGACAGUCCCACCGAAUUCUUCAAAUCUAGCUUUGAUGGUGAUGAAUCCUUUCGCCAAAUGGACAUUGGGAUCUUGUUAGUAAAUCUGAAGGUGUCUCUCUUCCAACACCAGAUCUUCACCCAGCAAGCCUGAAAAUCAUCAUUGAGGGUGAAAUUGUUAUGGACAAGCUGACAACCCUUA